GGUGUCUCACAGCUAACUAUGUGUCAUGUAGUAAAUUUUGCCUUUAGAAAAUUAACUAGCACCAUUUGCAAUGCUUCUUUCCUUCUGAAGGAAACUACGGCGUCGCCAAUUUCAACUUUAUUGAUCAUUAAUAAUGAACUAUGAUGCUUAAGGCCCCGUUCUUUAGUCCUAAAGAUGAAGAUAUAGAUGGAGGAUAAAGGAAAUUUGGAUGAAGAUAUAGAUGUAAGGAUGAACUUGCAGAGUACUAGUUGUGGAUACAAGAUGGAAUGGAUAGAAUUGCUACAUUGGUACAUAUCAAUAGCAGUACAUACAUAUAUUAGAGAGCAUAUCAUCAAUUGCAAAAUAAAUAGCAGUACAUAUAUAUUAGCACAAUUAAUACAUGGUACAUCAGAUGACUCCGAUACUAUUACAAAAGUAAAUACUGCUAAAUAUGAAAUGCUAAUACAUGCUAUUAGCAAUAUUUUCACGGACCAUAUCCAUCACAGCCUUGGUAUCACGCGCAUGGUAUGUGUGAUGUGCUGGAGAGACAUCCGGUACCGGGUGGAUAUGAGUAUGGUAUAGGGGGUUGGUACUGAUAGAGUUUGGUUCGGUACUAUCAACAAUAAAGUUGUUCAAUGCCAUGGCAGCAUGAAUAAUCAUGUUGUGUGCACGUGGUGUGUAAGCCGGAAUACUGUCCAAUAUUUGCCACCUCACCUUGAUACGUCCGAAAAGUCGUUCGACCGACCUGCGCAGAGAGGAGUGGUAGAAAUUGAAAAUCUCAUCCCUAUCUUGGGGAGGUGCCGCAUGUUCAAAUUGCGGCUGCUAGUACCUCACUUCAGGAUACGGUGCGAGAAACCCCUACCUAUUCGCAUACCCCUUAUCGACGAGAAAAUAUUUACCUACAACAAAAAAUUUAAUGUCGUGCACUAAGAAUUAUGUUAAUACCAUAAAAACAAAUGUACCAUAAGUAAAUACCUGGCGGUACCCUGGGGAACCGAUCAAGAUACUUCCUCAUAGCACUCGAUCAGGACACCCGGUGAUCGUGCACUGACCCCGGCCAUCCAGUUACAUCAAAAAUUACGCGGUCGCUCCAGUCUGAAAUGACCAACACAUUUGGUGUAGUUUCACCAACCUAGUUACGGUAUUGAACGUUGGGUCCAUUGGCCGAACUACAUCACAUGCCAUACAGACUAUCGCGUGAAGCACUCGGCUGAAAUAUUUGGAAAUAGUUAAUCCGGAUCUUUCGAACCUAUUGUUCGCUCUCUUGUUAACUUCACCCCCGACAUUGUCUACAGGAAAAAUCUUACUGCUUCCAAAGUGCUAACCUCAUAGGACGCUCUCAAGUUGUAAUUGUACUGGGACGCUCUCAAGUUGUAAUUGUACUGGAGGAUGUCAUUUAGUAAAAUCACCUAAUCUGGUUGCAUACGAAACAUGCUCCUGCAUUGAGGUCCAUUUCCUAAUGUUUGCAUCAUCCAUUGUUGCCCCGUCAGUAGUGGCACACGACUUGGUGCCCUUUGCGGUCAUACAAGUUGAGCUGCAAGGAAUCCUUCAAUGUAUUAUUCAAUAUCAUCUUCGGAUAUCUCGCCCAUCGUACCUUAGGAAUCGUCAUCGCUGCUACUAUUGCUCAUCCCUUCUUAUCUGCACAAACAUGGCAAAUUCAUAGCCACACAUAAAUAAUCCAUUUGGAAUUGAAGAGGGAACACAUAUAUAAAAAAGGCAACGACGGUCCAAACAGCAUGACUUAGUAAAUAUAAAAUGCGAUUAACAACUUGACUCAUCACAUAGAAAAUUGUUACAACAUGAAAACCAUUGCACAACGUUCAGGAAUUUACGAACUACACAAAUCGAACUUAACGAGAACAAAUACGCAUUGUUUAUGAAAUAACAACAGGGUUCACGAGGAGGGAAGAAAGUAAACAAUACGAUACAAUAUUAAUUGCCUUAGCAAACAGUUCUCAUCCUCUUCGGUCAAAAUCCUCAAGGUCCCCCUGCACCAUCAACACCAUCUCCUCGCCCUCCUCCCGUGGACAUCUUCGUCGCCUCCAUUGCUUGUCGUUGUCUCUGUUCUAACCCUGUGGAAUCGGUCUUCUCAGCCAUAGAGUGGGCCUGUCCAUGCCGCCGGCACCGAUGUGCAUCGCAAGAGUCAUUGGCCAUCCCCUGGCAACAUCGGCCGUGCUUCGUCUACCUCCGUCGAAAGCGACAGCACCUUGUCCAUCAUGCUCACCCAUCACUGACGCCUCGUCCUCGAUCGGCAGCGUGGAUUGAUGCAAGUUAAUGCCCUGUGUGAGUUCAUGUGGGAGACAGAAAGAUUUUCACAGAGAGCGGCUAUCAGAGUUUUAGCUUUAUGUGAAUUAAUUGUGGAAUGUACGAGUCCACAUGAACCUAGCCAUGUAUGAAUUCGUGAGGCAUGUAAUGUUUAGAACCAAGUUUGGAUGAUGUGAUCUAUAGAGUUUAUAAGCAUAUUGUUAUGCGUCUGUGAAAUGUAUGGUGUGAUCUUAUAGCAAUGUACUUGAGAUUGAGAUGAAUAUGAUACUGAUCGCUCAAAAAUUGUUUCUA